rnacentral:lncRNA from 1 species
GGAGCCAGUUGGGAUCUGUCCAGCCUCUGUCUCUUCCCCAAGCUGCCUCUGUUCUGCUGGCCCCUCGCUUGGGGCAAGGCCACUGUGUAGCAGGUGCCCAUGCGCACCACUGCCUACCUACUCUGUCGGCCCCUUUCAGGGUCUGGGCAGAGGAGGGAAAGAGCAGAGAGCAGCCGGUGAGCAGGAGAGGGCCGAGGCUGAGCUCUGCAGUUCCUCCUGCAGGGCAGGGUGCCAUGUGCCACGGGCCUGGCGGGCACAGCUGGACACAGAUGCUGACUUUCCCUUCCCUCCCAGGGGCCACACAGCCCCCCAGAGAGGCACAUGUGAUGGAGAGGAGAGCCAGGAUUCAUCACUGGUGCCCUCCAGGAGGCCAAGCAGCAUGUGAUGCCUCAGAUGCACGACCAGGACACCUCCAAUGCCAGCCCAGCUGGUACAAGCGGACCAGCCGGAAGUUUAGUCCUGCAGCCAGAGUGGGGGGUUGGGAGUGCGGGAGCUAAAGAAACCAACUAUUCCAGACCCAGAAAAUGACCCCGGGAAGAGCACAGCUCGAUGGUGCAACAGUUGUUUGCCUACCAUUUGACUUCUAGCAGGAAGCAGCUCUGAAGGGUAUUUUCCCCCUCGGUGGUCAGUUCCUCAUUGAGAAACUCUCUUCUGUUGACUCUUGGAUAUCUCAGCUCCCAAAGUGAUGAUGAGACUUUUUUUAACAUCCACUUCCAGGUUUGGAUUCACUUCUUCAUUCAGCUGGGAGAGCACAGAGGAUUUCCAACCUUCUCCUCUGGGUUCUGAAGGCUGGCCAAAUCCCCAGGCCCUGGCGGAGCCUUGCACCCCAGGAAAGGUCCCCUCCACCCACCUACUUCCCAAGGAUGGCCAUCGCCCUCCAAGUUCCAUCUCACAUUAGGAAACAACCUGAAAAACUCUCCUGUGAGGUUUGGUGAGAAACAGAAAGGAAUCCGCUGGUGAAGUCACAGUGGGCUCUUAAUCAGGGUGGACCCAUGAUUGUGCCAGAAUCUUCCUUACUCCCUACCCUCCCUUUGAGCCAAGAUGGCAGAAACCAUCACCUGCUACAGUGGCCCAGGGAGGUCCCACGAAUCCCCACAUCCCAUAUCCACCCAGGGACCAGUCUGCCAGGCCCCUGUGGCUCUGUGCUCUCCUUGUGAUGCAGCCCAGCUCCUGCUCACUCUGCCGGCUCCCUUGUCUUAGACUCUGGCUCCUUGCUCAUCCGUUCCCAUCAUGCCUCACACAGGGGAGCUGUCUCACCCUCCGCCUCCCCCAUCCCCCCCGCAUGGACCUGGCAGCUCCUGCUUAUGCAGGAGACUCAGU